GUGCUCUUGCUUCUGGCCGAGCUCGGGAGGGAGACGCGGAGGUUGUGAUUUACCUAAGCUAACAUUCAUUCUUGAAGAUUUGUAACGAUGCUCUAUCAAAAGACAUCGGGCAUUUUUGCGGCAGUACACACAAAGGGUCGCCAGAUUAAGCGGUACUUCAAAAACAUACUCGUGUGUUGUGUCGUCUUUCUUGCCUGACCUACAGCUUCCCUCUGGCAAUCUUGUCAACCACGUGUUUGCAGACGCAUCAAAAUGGAAUGACAGAAUUGCAACC